GGGCGCGGUAGUAUAGCGGUUAUUGCAUUCCCGAGUUAUGAGCGAAGACCCAGGUUCGACUCCUGGCCCGUCCA